UACGUAGGGCGCAAGCGUUGUCCGGAAUUAUUGGGCGUAAAGAGCUCGUAGGCGGUUUGUCGCGUCUGCCGUGAAAGUCCGGGGCUCAACUCCGGAUCUGCGGUGGGUACGGGCAGACUAGAGUGAUGUAGGGGAGAUUGGAAUUCCUGGUGUAGCGGUGAAAUGCGCAGAUAUCAGGAGGAACACCGAUGGCGAAGGCAGGUCUCUGGGCAUUAACUGACGCUGAGGAGCGAAAGCGUGGGUAGCAAACGGG
rnacentral:rRNA from 1 species